AUUGAACGCUGGCGGCAGGCUUAACACAUGCAAGUCGAGCGGAGUGAUGGUGCUUGCACUAUCACUUAGCGGCGGACGGGUGAGUAAUGCUUAGGAAUCUGCCUAUUAGUGGGGGACAACAUCUCGAAAGGGAUGCUAAUACCGCAUACGUCCUACGGGAGAAAGCAGGGGAUCACUUGUGACCUUGCGCUAAUAGAUGAGCCUAAGUCGGAUUAGCUAGUUGGUGGGGUAAAGGCCUACCAAGGCGACGAUCUGUAGCGGGUCUGAGAGGAUGAUCCGCCACACUGGGAAGAAGACACGGCCCAGACUCCUACGGGAGGCAGCAGUGGGGAAUAUUGGACAAUGGGGGGAACCCUGAUCCAGCCGUGCCGCGUGUGAAGAAGGCCUUAUGGUUGUAAAGCACUUUAAGCGAGGAGGAGGCUCUUUUGGUUAAUACCCAAGAUGAGUGGACGUUACUCGCAGAAUAAGCACCGGCUAACUCUGUGCCAGCCGCCGCAGUAA
rnacentral:rRNA from 1 species